rnacentral:rRNA from 1 species
CGCGGCCUAUCAGCUUGUUGGUGAGGUAAUGGCUCACCAAGGCGACGACGGGUAGCCGGCCUGAGAGGGCGACCGGCCACACUGGGACUGAGACACGGCCCAGACUCCUACGGGAGGCAGCAGUGGGGAAUAUUGCACAAUGGGCGAAAGCCUGAUGCAGCGACGCCGCGUGAGGGAUGACGGCCUUCGGGUUGUAAACCUCUUUCAGCAGGGAAGAAGCGAAAGUGACGGUACCUGCAGAAGAAGCGCCGGCUAACUACGUGCCAGCAGCCGCGGUAAUACGUAGGGCGCAAGCGUUGUCCGGAAUUAUUGGGCGUAAAGAGCUCGUAGGCGGUCUGUCGCGUCGGAUGUGAAAGCCCGGGGCUUAACCCCGGGUCUGCAUUCGAUACGGGCAGACUAGAGUGUGGUAGGGGAGA